CCAGCUCACCUCGCGUCCACUUCAGUCUCCUGCGUUAAGGAGUGUGUUGAUGAUCUGGUCCUAAUCCAGGGGUUUAAUAUAGCUAUGAGAGAGAGAGAGAGAGGUGUGUGAGGGUUAUUUUUAAAUGCUACAUUCUCUCAGACUUUGAACUUAGUGCCCUCGGAUUUCUGGUGACUUAACAGGACGGUGAGACAAAAUUUUUGCUGUUGCAAAGUUUUAAAUUCAAUUCACAAGUUUUAAAAAAGGUCUCUUUGUGUGGAGACUAAUUACCACAUUGACAUCAUGGGGAAGAGGGAUGCAUCAGUCAGAAUCCUCUGUCACUAUAUGACAGAAAAUGUACCUCCAUUUCAUGACUGCAGCAGAUAACCGUGAUCAAGGCCCAAUAUAUUGGAGAUUUGAUAAAUUCCGGGCCCAGCCUGUUGGAACUUUAUUGUUGGACUCCCGAGGAAAGAUGUAACUCAGAUUCAUGGCUCUUGACAAACCAUCAGAUUUCCAAGAUUCUUCCAUUCAAGCUGUAGCUGUGGAAUGAGGAAAUCUCACAGAAAUUCAUCUCCAAAGUUGUUACAGAUGCUGGUCUAAUAAUCGGAUGUUGAAUAUAAUGCAACAUUUCAACAAGCUGCUAUAGUUCAUUUCUCAUGCUCCAUGUUAAUUGUUGCUUCAGCAUUUAUUGGUGAAUUUCAUGUACUGACUCUGAUAAAAACAUUCAUCAAUUCAUUCACACUCGUUUUUGUUGAGUUUGCCGUUGUUAUUCCUGUUUAUUUUUUCAUAUUUGUUGAGUUUGGCACCAACACUGCUAAGUGUUGCAAAACAAUGAUGCUUACAUCCAUGCCAUUUAUGUUUUCAAAGAAUAAAAGAAUGACACAGUGACACAAAGGAAGUUCCAGAAGGCACAUGGUGAUAUGUAUGUAUUCAAAGUAUAACAGUAAUGAAUUUGUAUGCAUUAAGUUACAGAUGCCAAAAUUCAGAGUGCAUUCAACAAACACUCUGCACCAAUAAAUUGUGAGUUAGUUUCUUCUGCGAGCAUUCUUGCAAUUUAGUUUUCUUCAGCUUUGUUCAUAACACUCGCAUCGUGGCAUUCGCAUUUUUGUCCAUUUGAUUAUUUCAUUAUCACUGGGGAGUUAAUCUGUUAAGAAGCUAAUCAACUUUUG